ensembl:lncRNA
CCCCAUCUUUUAAUUUGCAGUCAGACUGGCAAGAGCAAAAAAGCUUUAGGAGUAACACAUUUAAUCCCUUUGGGAUUUCUCUAUAGUCUUCAGAUUAAUAGCGGGACAGAGACAAAAGGCCUUUUUUCACCUGCUGUUUCCUGUUCUGUCUGGCUGCAUGUCUCCAGGCCCUGGCUCUCUCCGACAGCGUCUCUCAUGCCUCCUACAGACUUGCAUCGAAAAGCUCCUUGUAUUAGCAUUGUGAUGAGGAUAUACCGUCGGAUAGCUGCUGAAUUUGAUAAACUCUGAGUGUGGUGCAAUAUAAAGGAAUGAGGCUGUAACUUCCUGAGGUCUUUGUUGGUGCAGUUGAAACAAAUGGAGAAAGUCAUGUAAUGUUUUGGGGGGCAAUGAGCUGAAUCAGCCUCUGUUAGACGGCCUGGCCGGAGGAUGGAUGGAAGAGGACUUCUGGAUGCUGGUGGGCUGGGUUCAACUCCGAACUGAGAGGAUUUGAAGCCGUGUUUUGUUCCAGUAAGGUCCGAUCCCAGUAGAAAGAAAGUCACAGAUUUGGGACAACAUGAGGAAGGUCAGAUGCUCAUAGAAGAGCAGCUCGUGCACGGGUGGAGCAGAAGGAGAGAAGGAAUGGAGUUAAAUUAAGGAUAUCAUUGGACUGACAGUGAUCUGGGCAGCUCUCGAUAAGAUCCUCGGCUCUGCGGAGCGCCAGACGACGUGAGAAGGUCUGGCGGCGGGAUGGGGAGGGGGAAGGGGAAGGGGGCAGUUAAAAGUUUUCCGAGCCGUCUUCCCCCUUCAAUUUGCAUGCUUAAUGAUGCUGAGCAGGAGUUAAUAGUGGGUGUAAUGGCUUCUGACUGACCGGGCUCUGGAGUGGACCACAGGCUGGGCCACCGGAGCAGGGGUGGGGAGGGGUUAACGCACACCAUACGGCUCUGCACUCGCUCG